rnacentral:misc_RNA from 1 species
UAAUUGCUGAUGCUGUGAUUUCAAAGA